AGUUCGUAUGUAAACUACUAAAGUUCAAGCUACAUCCUUAAAGGAAGAGCCAAUAGGAAUGUAGGUGCUACUCUAAAAUGCUCCUUCACCGAAUUGAGAAAUUCCAUUUGUACAGUCUGAGUAAUCUGGACUCAGUGACUUUUCGUAACAAACCAUUCAUGUUUUCAUGCUACCAUAGUAACCUGUCAUACCUAUUUUUAUUUUCUCCCUGGAGCUAUUAUUUCAGAGAAUCUUGGACAUUCUGGGUUGGUAGGGACCUCAGAGUUUGUGACCCACGCUAAUAAACAGCCAAUCUCGGGUGGUUCUGGACUCACAAAACUACCACAUUUCUCCAAGCCUGCUGAAGCAAGAGACUAGUAUCUGCCAAGAGCCUACGAUGUAGCUGGACUGAUAGAGGCUCUGAAAAGCGGCCACCGCACGAUGGUUCAAAAGGCUAACCAAGGAGGAAAAAACCAAAGGAAAGGAUAGUGAAAAAGAAGGAGCCCUUGUACAUUUGUCAGGACCCUGGAUUUUAAUGACAGAAACCCAACUCAACCAACUUGGACCAAGCAAAGCCCUGUGUGAAGGUUCACAGACCCAUGGGAAGAGCAGGGGACGUGAAUGCCAUGCCUCACCCAUAUUUCUGCUUCUCUUCCAUUCUCAGAGACCCAGUCCAGUCUCCCACACCACAAACUCCUCAGCCUCUUCUACCCCUCAUUCCCAACUGGGACUUGU